AGCGAACGCUGGCGGCAGGCCUAACACAUGCAAGUCGAACGGACCCUUCGGGGUUAGUGGCGGACGGGUGAGUAACACGUGGGAACGUGCCUUUAGGUUCGGAAUAGCUCCUGGAAACGGGUGGUAAUGCCGAAUGUGCCCUUCGGGGGAAAGAUUUAUCGCCUUUAGAGCGGCCCGCGUCUGAUUAGCUAGUUGGUGGUGUAACGGACCACCAAGGCGACGAUCAGUAGCUGGUCUGAGAGGAUGAUCAGCCACAUUGGGACUGAGACACGGCCCAAACUCCUACGGGAGGCAGCAGUGGGGAAUCUUGCGUAAUGGGCGAAAGCCUGACGCAGCCAUGCCGCGUGGAUGAUGAAGGCCCUAGGGUUGUAAAGCUCUUUCGGCGGGGACGAUAAUGACGGUACCCGCAGAAGAAGCCCCGGCUAACUUCGUGCCAGCCGCCGCGGUAAGAC
rnacentral:rRNA from 1 species